UUUCACUUCGGGGGAGCGAACGUGACAUGCCCAGACCUCUAGGCCUUCAGAAACAUCACGAGGUGCCAGUCUGAAUUGCUGUGGUCUGGAUCUCCCACCGAGGCAUGCAUCUAUCUUACCAGGGGACUUUGAGUUUCUGCUACUCCCUGCUCGCCGAGUCCCAUUGUACAAUGUCAUCAAGGAGAUGGACCAGCCUGCUGGUGGUGGUGGGUCCAAUCUCCAGGGCACCUGGCCUCCCUUGAACUCAAGGAAGCCUCCACCUGGGAUUGAUUUAAUCCUAACAAUUGAGCAGGAGCCUUGAUUCUUAUCAAGCUGGCUCAGAAUUACAUACAGCUUAAUAAAAAGAAUACUCCGGAAAGUGCCUGACA